GGCUGCAUUUUUGCCUCUUUCCCCCUUGGCUGCCUUUUUCAUCUCUUGUUUUUCCCGCUGUGCCCCUUGUGUCCCCCUGUGCUGGGUCCGAGCUGGGGCCGGGCCAGGCGGAGCAGCAGUUGCAGCCCUGGCUGUCCCUGGAGCGGUGGGAGCUGCCGGUGGCCCCAGGCACUGUCCUGUGAGGAGCUGCUGAAGGACGCUGUGCUGAAGAGCUUGAGGACAUCCAGACACUGCCAGGAGGCAGCAGGGAGAAGCUGAAGGCCUGGAGCAAGAGCAGUGAGCAGGGAUGUGCUGGGGCCACGCGAGAGCCUGGAUGUCCCAUCUGCUGUCCCUGUCCAGGAGAGCUGCUCUGCAUGGGAGGAAAACACUGAGAGGCUUUGAAGAUCGGGCGGCUGGGAUCCCUCUGAUUAUAUAUCUUUAUGUAUAUAUAUUGUAUGAAAUAUGUCAUAUUUAAUCUGUAUUUCCAUCUGUUGAUUGUUAUAUAUGUAUAUAUAAAGGUAUUUAGUUCUAUUUAAACAUGUCUGGAGUGGUAUAGUCGUAUAAUUCUAUCUAUUGAAUUCUUAGUACAGGGUUAUUUAGAGGGAGACAUGGAUAUUUUUGUAUUUCAAUAUGGGCUGUAAGUUUGUUGUAAUCUGUAAUAAAUUAAG